rnacentral:lncRNA from 1 species
CCUGACCAAAAUUCUUUCUGGUUCCAGAAUCUUGUUUCCAUUGAUCAUCAUAGUAGCUUACUUCUCUCUCUUUGGACAGAGACUGCAUGGUGCCUUGUUGCAAUGUUAUUUGUCUUCAUUUAUUUAAUUUUUCUGGUAUUAGCUGCGGUGAUGACAGCUAAGGCUCGUUGUCUGGAAGAGGUUCUGAUAUCAUAUGAAAACGAAACUGCACAUUGCAAAGUCAUAUAGCAAAGCAGAGAAAGAAACAAAUAAGAAAAAGAACUUUCAAGAAUAAAAUAUCAUAACAGCUGCUCAUGAGGAGUGACAUUUUCAGGCUAAUUAUUCUUUGGAAUUUUGAAGACCAAAGGCCUCGUAGAAGGGAUUCUCCCUCUAGUAGACUCUAGCGAACCUAAAGAAUACAGGUCUCCUUCAUUUUUUAUUCUCCUCUAAUAUGCUGUUGUUGCCUUUACAUCAUGUCUCCUUUUGCCCUGCCUUCAAGUUGUUACUGCCUUUAAUAAAGACUUCAAU